UCCGGAGGGUGCAAGCGUUAUCCGGAUUCACUGGGUUUAAAGGGUGCGUAGGUGGGCAGGUAAGUCAGUGGUGAAAUCUCCGGGCUUAACCCGGAAACUGCCAUUGAUACUAUUUGUCUUGAAUACCGUGGAGGUCAGCGGAAUAUGUCAUGUAGCGGUGAAAUGCUUAGAUAUGACAUAGAACACCAAUUGCGAAGGCAGCUGGCUACACGAAUAUUGACACUGAUGCACGAAAGCGUGGGGAUCAAACAGG
rnacentral:rRNA from 1 species